rnacentral:rRNA from 1 species
GAUGAACGCUGGCGGCGUGCCUAACACAUGCAAGUCGAGCGGCAGCGAGGGGUGCUUGCACCCUGUCGGCGAGCGGCGGACGGCUGAGUAACGCGUGGGAACGUGCCCCAAAGUGAGGAAUAACUGCCCGAAAGGGUAGCUAAUACCGCAUAUUAUCUUCGGAUCAAAGGAUUUAUCCGCUUUGGGAGCGGCUCGCGUCGGAUUAGGUAGUUGGUGAGGUAAUGGCUCACCAAGCCGACGAUCCGUAGCUGGUCUGAGAGGAUGACCAGCCAGACUGGAACUGAGACACGGUCCAGACUCCUACGGGAGGCAGCAGUGAGGGAUCUUCCACAAUGGGCGAAAGCCUGAUGGAGCAACGCCGCGUGCAGGACGAAGGCCUUCGGGUUGUAAACUGCUUUUAUAAGUGAGGAAUAUGACGGUAACUUAUGAAUAAGGAUCGGCUAACUACGUG